rnacentral:rRNA from 1 species
ACGAACGCUGGCGGCAUGCCUAACACAUGCAAGUCGAACGAGACCUUCGGGUCUAGUGGCGCCCGGGUGCGUAACGCGCGGGAACCUGCCCUUAGGUUCGGAAUAACUCCCCGAAAGGGGUGCUAAUACCGGAUAAUGUCUUCGGACCAAAGAUUUAUCGGCUUUGGAUGGGCCCGCGUUGGAUUAGCUAGUUGGUAGGGUAAAAGCCUACCCAGGCGACGAUCCAUAGCUGGGCUGAGAGGAUGAUCAGGCACACUGGGAGAGAGACACGGCCCAGACCCCUACGGGAGGCAGCAGGGGGGAAUAUUGGACAAUGGGCGAAAGCCUGAUCCAGCAAGGCCGCGGGAGUGAUGAAGGCCUUAGGGUUGUAAAGCUCUUGUACCCGGGAUGAUAAUGACAGUACCGGGAGAAUAAGCGCCGGCUAACUCCGUG